rnacentral:rRNA from 1 species
UACGGAAGGCAGCAGUGGGGAAUAUUGCACAAUGGGCGAAAGCCUGAUGCAGCUAUGCCGCGUGUAUGAAGAAGGCCUUAGGGUUGUAAAGUACUUUCAUCGGGGAGGAAAAAACAAAACUAAUAAUUUUAUUUCUUGACGUUACCCGAAAAAGAAGCACCGGCUAACUCCGUGCCAGCAGCCGCGGUAAUACGGAGGGUGCUAGCGUUAAUCAGAAUUACUGGGCGUAAAGAGCACGUAGGUGGUUUUUUUAAGUCAGAUGUGAAAUCCCUGGGCUUAACCUGGAACUGCAUUUUGAAACUGAAAUACUAGAGUAUCGUAGAGGGAGGUAGAAUUCUAGGUGUAGCGGUGAAAUGCGUAGAGAUGUGGAGGAAUACCGGUGGCGAAGGCGGCCCCUGGACAAAGACUGACGCUCAUGUGCGAAAGCGUGGGGAGCAAACAGGGAUUAGAUACC